rnacentral:lncRNA from 1 species
GGGCCAACUUAUCCAACCUCUCUCUUAGGCUGAUAUUUCUGUUUAGCCUUCUUUUCGUGCUCCAAUCCCUUAAUCUCCUCAUUAAUCUUGGUCUUCUUGACUAGAGCCUCAAAUGCUCGCUCUUGAUGUGGAGCCACUUGAACCAUAAGGUCAUACCUCAGACCCUUUUGAAAACGAAAGCUCUUAUCCUGUCACAUCCUAAAAAUUGGGUUAAAAGAAAUUAGGAUAGUGAGAUUGAGAGUGGUC